rnacentral:rRNA from 1 species
GGUUAAGCGACUAAGCGUACACGGUGGAUGCCCUGGCAGUCAGAGGCGAUGAAGGACGUGCUAAUCUGCGAAAAGCGCCGGCGAGGUGAUAUGAACCUUUGACCCGGCGAUGUCCGAAUGGGGAAACCCAGUGUGUUCCGACACACUAUCGUUAACUGAAUACAUAGGUUAACGAGGCGAACCGGGGGAACUGAAACAUCUAAGUACCCCGAGGAAAAGAAAUCAACCGAGAUUCCCCCAGUAGCGGCGAGCGAACGGGGAGCAGCCCAGAGUCUGAAUCAGCUUGUGUGUUAGUGGAAGCGUCUGGAAAGUCGCACGGUACAGGGUGACAGUCCCGUACACGAAAAUGCACAGGUUGUGAACUCGAAGAGUAGGGCGGGACACGUGGUAUCCUGUCUGAAUAUGGGGGGACCAUCCUCCAAGGCUAAAUACUCCUGACUGACCGAUAGUGAACCAGUACCGUGAGGGAAAGGCGAAAAGAACCCCGGCGAGGGGAGUGAAACAGAACCUGAAACCGUGUACGUACAAGCAGUGGGAGCACCUUCGUGGUGUGACUGCGUACCUUUUGUAUAAUGGGUCAGCGACUUAUAUUCUGUAGCAAGGUUAACCGUAUAGGGGAGCCGAAGGGAAACCGAGUCUUAACUGGGCGUUAAGUUGCAGGGUAUAGACCCGAAACCCGGUGAUCUAGCCAUGGGCAGGUUGAAGGUUGGGUAACACUAACUGGAGGACCGAACCGACUAAUGUUGAAAAAUUAGCGGAUGACUUGUGGCUGGGGGUGAAAGGCCAAUCAAACCGGGAGAUAGCUGGUUCUCCCCGAAAGCUAUUUAGGUAGCGCCUCGUGAACUCAUCUUCGGGGGUAGAGCACUGUUUCGGCUAGGGGGCCAUCCCGGCUUACCAACCCGAUGCAAACUACGAAUACCGAAGAAUGUUAUCACGGGAGACACACGGCGGGUGCUAACGUCCGUCGUGAAGAGGGAAACAACCCAGACCGCCAGCUAAGGUCCCAAAGUCAUGGUUAAGUGGGAAACGAUGUGGGAAGGCACAGACAGCCAGGAUGUUGGCUUAGAAGCAGCCAUCAUUUAAAGAAAGCGUAAUAGCUCACUGGUCGAGUCGGCCUGCGCGGAAGAUGUAACGGGGCUAAACCAUGCACCGAAGCUGCGGCAGCGACGCUUAUGCGUUGUUGGGUAGGGGAGCGUUCUGUAAGCCGUUGAAGGUGGCCUGUGAGGGUUGCUGGAGGUAUCAGAAGUGCGAAUGCUGACAUAAGUAACGAUAAAGCGGGUGAAAAGCCCGCUCGCCGGAAGACCAAGGGUUCCUGUCCAACGUUAAUCGGGGCAGGGUGAGUCGACCCCUAAGGCGAGGCCGAAAGGCGUAGUCGAUGGGAAACAGGUUAAUAUUCCUGUACUUGGUGUUACUGCGAAGGGGGGACGGAGAAGGCUAUGUUAGCCGGGCGACGGUUGUCCCGGUUUAAGCAUGUAGGCGGAACGAUUAGGUAAAUCCGGUCGUUUAUUAACGCUGAGGUGUGAUGACGAGGCACUACGGUGCUGAAGUAACAAAUGCCCUGCUUCCAGGAAAAGCCUCUAAGCAUCAGGUAACAUCAAAUCGUACCCCAAACCGACACAGGUGGUCAGGUAGAGAAUACCAAGGCGCUUGAGAGAACUCGGGUGAAGGAACUAGGCAAAAUGGUGCCGUAACUUCGGGAGAAGGCACGCUGAUAUGUAGGUGAAGCCCCUGCGGGUGGAGCUGAAAUCAGUCGAAGAUACCAGCUGGCUGCAACUGUUUAUUAAAAACACAGCACUGUGCAAACACGAAAGUGGACGUAUACGGUGUGACGCCUGCCCGGUGCCGGAAGGUUAAUUGAUGGGGUUAGCGGCAACGCGAAGCUCUUGAUCGAAGCCCCGGUAAACGGCGGCCGUAACUAUAACGGUCCUAAGGUAGCGAAAUUCCUUGUCGGGUAAGUUCCGACCUGCACGAAUGGCGUAAUGAUGGCCAGGCUGUCUCCACCCGAGACUCAGUGAAAUUGAACUCGCUGUGAAGAUGCAGUGUACCCGCGGCAAGACGGAAAGACCCCGUGAACCUUUACUAUAGCUUGACACUGAACACUGGUCCUUGAUGUGUAGGAUAGGUGGGAGGCUUUGAAGCGUGGACGCCAGUCUGCGUAGAGCCGUCCUUGAAAUACCACCCUUUGAUGGCUGGUGUUCUAACGUAGACCCGUAAUCCGGGUUGCGGACAGUGUCUGGUGGGUAGUUUGACUGGGGCGGUCUCCUCCCAAAGAGUAACGGAGGAGCACGAAGGUUAGCUAAUCCUGGUCGGACAUCAGGAGGUUAGUGCAAUGGCAUAAGCUAGCUUGACUGCGAGAGUGACGGCUCGAGCAGGUGCGAAAGCAGGUCAUAGUGAUCCGGUGGUUCUGAAUGGAAGGGCCAUCGCUCAACGGAUAAAAGGUACUCCGGGGAUAACAGGCUGAUACCGCCCAAGAGUUCAUAUCGACGGCGGUGUUUGGCACCUCGAUGUCGGCUCAUCACAUCCUGGGGCUGAAGUAGGUCCCAAGGGUAUGGCUGUUCGCCAUUUAAAGUGGUACGCGAGCUGGGUUUAGAACGUCGUGAGACAGUUCGGUCCCUAUCUGCCGUGGGCGCUGGAGAAUUGAGGGGGGCUGCUCCUAGUACGAGAGGACCGGAGUGGACGCAUCACUGGUGUUCGGGUUGUCAUGCCAAUGGCACUGCUCGGUAGCUAAAUGCGGAAAAGAUAAGUGCUGAAAGCAUCUAAGCACGAAACUUGCCCCGAGAUGAGUUCUCCCUGAGACUUUAAGUCUCCUGAAGGAACGUUGAAGACGACGACGUUGAUAGGUCGGGUGUGUAAGCGCAGCGAUGCGUUGAGCUAACCGAUACUAAUGAACCGUGAGGCUUAACCUU